rnacentral:rRNA from 1 species
GAGCCUACGGGAGGCAGCAGUGGGGAAUAUUGCACAAUGGGGGGAACCCUGAUGCAGCGACGCCGCGUGAGUGAAGAAGUAUUUCGGUAUGUAAAGCUCUAUCAGCAGGGAAGAAAAUGACGGUACCUGACUAAGAAGCCCCGGCUAACUACGUGCCAGCAGCCGCGGUAAUACGUAGGGGGCAAGCGUUAUCCGGAUUUACUGGGUGUAAAGGGAGCGUAGACGGUUAUGCAAGUCUGAAGUGAAAGCCCGGGGCCCAACCCCGGGACUGCUCUUGGAACUGCGUGGCUGGAGUGCAGGAGGGG